UCGAACGCGAAAGCCCCGCAAGGGGUAAGUAGAGUGGCAAACGGGUGGGUAACACGUGGGUGACCUGCCUUCGAGUGGGGGAUAACGUCCCGAAAGGGACGCUAAUACCGCAUGACAUCCUGCUCUUGGACGAGCGGAGAUCAAAGCCGGGGAUCGCAAGACCUGGCGCUUGAAGAGGGGCCCGCGCCUGAUUAGCUAGUUGGUGGGGUAAUGGCUCACCAAGGCGACGAUCAGUAUCCGGCCUGAGAGGGCGGACGGACACACUGGGACUGAGACACGGCCCAGACUCCUACGGGAGGCAGCAGUGGGGAAUUGUUCGCAAUGGGCGCAAGCCUGACGACGCAACGCCGCGUGGAGGACGAAGAUCUUCGGGUCGUAAACUCCUGUCGAGCGGGAAGAAACCCGCGGGGGUGAAUAAUCCCUGCGGCUGACGGUACCGCUAAAGGAAGCCCCGGCUAACUCCGUGCCAGCAGCCGCGGUAAUACGGGGGGGCAAGCGUUG
rnacentral:rRNA from 1 species